GAGUUUGAUCAUGGCUCAGGAUGAACGCUAGCGGGAGGCCUAACACAUGCAAGCCGAGCGGUAUUGUUUCUUCGGAAUGAGAGAGCGGCGUACGGGUGCGGAACACGUGUGCAACCUGCCUUUAUCUGGGGGAUAGCCUUUCGAAAGGAAGAUUAAUACUCCAUAAUAUAUUGAACGGCAUCGUUUAAUAUUGAAAGCUCCGGCGGAUAGAGAUGGGCACGCGCAAGAUUAGCUAGUUGGUGAGGUAACGGCUCACCAAGGCAAUGAUCUUUAGGGGGCCUGAGAGGGUGAUCCCCCACACUGGUACUGAGACACGGACCAGACUCCUACGGGAGGCAGCAGUGAGGAAUAUUGGUCAAUGGGUGCAAGCCUGAACCAGCCAUCCCGCGUGAAGGACGACUGCCCUAUGGGUUGUAAACUUCUUUUGUAUAGGGAUAAACCUUUCCACGUGUGGAAAGCUGAAGGUACUAUACGAAUAAGCACCGGCUAACUCCGUG
rnacentral:rRNA from 1 species